CGCAGGUCCCGGGGUUCACGGGGAAGGGUGGAGGCCUUAGACUCGGGGCUGAUGUGCAUCCCAGCUCUGCGCCUUACGUCCUCCUUCUGUGCAAUGGGAACAGUGGUUCCUCUCUUACUGCAUUGUGGCGUUAGUUUAAACGGGCUUUCGAAGAUAUUUAUCGAGAGCCUACUAGAUGCGCCGCCCUAGCACUUGGAGGCGGGAAUGGACUGAAAGGGGAAAAAGAAACGUCACCCACUGUUUGUCUUCCUGGGCACCUGCGCGGGACACCCUGAGGCUAAGAUUAUUUAUUUAUAUGUCAGAGAGAGAGAGUGUGUGCAGAAGCAGGGGGAGCAGCAGGCAGAGGAAGAAGCAGGCUCCCCACUGGGCAAGGAGCCUGAUGCAGGACUCGAUCCCAGGACCCCAGGAUCAUGACCCUUGCUGAAGGCAGACAUUUAACUGACUGAGCCACCCAGGCAUCCCUCCCUUUUCUUAAUUACAUCUUUAUUUCUAUUUGGAGCAUACGAAAGAAUUUAUGUCACAUAUGUAUAAGUUUGGGGGCAUAAUAAUGCAAUGACACUCCUGAACUCACCUCCCAAAUGCAGAUCUAGAACCUUACCAAUAACCAGAGUCCUACAUUGUCAUGCUCUGCCCACCCCCAGAAGUCACUACCACCCUUAGUUUAUUGUCUCCCUGCCUUUCGGAAGAAAAUCAUCUACGUAUGCAUGCUUCAACAAUGAACUUUGUAGGUUGUUUGAGGGCCUUAUAAAAAUAGUAUCACACCAAAGGUAGUAUUCCAGGACUUUCUGUACUAGCAUUAUCAAAGGUUUAUCUUAAGGUUGUGUAGCUGUGGUUCAUCCUUUUCAUUGCUGUGUAAUACACCAUUGUGAAUAUACCACAACAUACUUAUCUGUUUUCCUGUUGCUGGGCAUUUGAUUUGUUGCUAUUUUUUUAUUACCACAAAAAUUCUUCUGUGAA
rnacentral:lncRNA from 1 species